rnacentral:misc_RNA from 1 species
GAUGAAGAACGCAGCAAAAUGCGAUAAGUAAUGUGAAUUGCAGAAUUCAGUGAAUCAUCGAAUCUUUGAACGCACAUUGCGCCCGCCAGUAUUCUGGCGGGCAUGCCUGUUCGAGCGUCAUUUCAACCCUCAAGCACAGCUUGGUGUUGGGACUCGCGUUAAUUCGCGUUCCCCAAAUUGAUUGGCGGUCACGUCGAGCUUCCAUAGCGUAGUAGUAAAACUCUCGUUACUGGUAAUCGUCGCGGCCACGCCGUUAAACCCCAACUUCUGAAUGUUGACCUCGGAUCAGGUAGGAAUACCCGCUGAACUUAAGCAUAUCAAUAAGCGGAGGA